rnacentral:rRNA from 1 species
GGGGGGGGGGGGGGGGGGGCGUGGGGGGGGGGGGGGGGGGGGGGGGUGUCGGGGGGCGGCGGCGGAGGGGUGAGUCACGGGUGGGAACGUGCCCUCUGGGUCGGACUACCGCCGGGGGACUUGGGCUACUCCCGGAUACUCCCUGUUGGGGAAAGGCUUGAUGCCGUAGGAGCGGCCCGCGUCUGAUUAGCUAGUUGGUGAGGUAACGGCUCACCAAGGCGACGAUCAGGAGCUGGUCUGAGAGGAUGAUCAGCCACACUGGGAAUGCGACACGGCCCAGACUCCUACGGGAGGCAGCAGUGGAGAAUAUUGGACAAUGGGCGCAAGCCUGAUCCAGCCAUGCCGCGGGAGUGAUGAAGGCCUUAGGGUUGUAAAGCUCUUUUAUCCGGGACGAUAAUGACGGUACCGGAGGAAUAAGCCCCGGCUAACUUCGUG